AUGCCCCGGCUUAACUACGGGAUCAUUUCUUUGAUUCCCAAGGUUCCGGGUGCUGCUGACAUAAGGCAAUUCCGGCCUAUCACAGUCCUCAAUGUGAUAUUCUAGAUUUUGGCUAAGGGGUACGCCACUUGGGCGGCCCUAACCGCCCCUCCGAUCCACCACCCGAAACAGUCUGCCUUCACGAAAGGUAAGUUUAUUCUGGAUGGGAUUCUCGUUCUCCACGAGGUCAUCCAUGAGGUCAAGAGCAAGCACCUCCGUGCGGUGUUCUUCAAGAUUGACUUCCAUAAAGCAUACGACACCGUCCAUUGGUCCUUCCUUCGGGAGGUGUUGCUCAAGCACGGAUUCGACCCCCACUGGGUUGCGAGGGUGAUGCAGUUAGUGACGAGCGGCCGCACGGCUGUGAAUAUCAAUGGGGAGAUCGGGCCUUACUUCUUGCCUGGCCAAGGCGUACGGCAACGGGAUCCGUGA
rnacentral:rRNA from 1 species